ensembl:sense_intronic BC002189 cDNA sequence BC002189
AAAAUCUGCACUGAGCAUUUUUAUUUCUUUGUUUUGUUUUGUUUUACAAUUUCCUACCAACCAACCAACAAAACAAAGCAAGACACCUGUUAAGAGCUAUGAGCUGUGACUGCGGGUAGAGGGUAGAGGUCUAUGAGCUGUGACUGCGGGUAGAGGGUAGAGGUCUAUGGCAGAACUGGUGGUUAGUGUGAACAGUGAGGCCCUGGCUGCCAACCUCAGCAAACAAACCAAUCAACAAAGUAGUAUCGGUGACAAACAGGCCCAGGUGACAGACGUAUGUUGACGCCGGCAUAAAUACAAGGUGGAGACCCCCAGCCUCUCAGUUCCACUCCAAGCAUAGUCCCUGUGCAAGCACAGCGACAGGCACAGUUCUUGCUGGCUCUGCAGGAGGGAGGCGAAGUUUGCAGGAUGAGGAAGUGAGUGGCAGACACACACCCUGUCCAGAGCUAAGGACGGCUUCAUUUGUCAUGCAAGCCACACAAGCACAUUUCUGCUUUGUUUGCAGAACUUCUAAGUCCAGAUUUUCAUACUAAGUCACUUUCGUUAAAAAACAAACAAACAAACAAACAAACAAACAAACAAACAAAAAAAAAAAA